UUAAUUUGACUGAGCACGAGGAAACUUACCAAGUCCAGACAUAGUUAGGAUUGACAGACUAAGAGCUCUUUCUAUUUUUUUUUAUCGAUAAAUGUAAAUAUCAUUGAUA
rnacentral:rRNA from 1 species